GUUCUACUCCCUCCGUCCCAUACUAAGUGACGAAAUAUUACAUGUAUUUAGAUGCUUUUUGAGUAUAGAUACAUCCAUAUUUUGGCAAAUUUGAGUCACUUAUUAUGGCACGGAGGGAGUAUCAA
rnacentral:pre_miRNA from 1 species